GGAGCAGUGUAGUUCAGUGGUAGAGAAACCUGCUUUGCAUGCAGAAGGUCUCAGGUGUGAUCCCUGGCAUCUCCA